AGUGAACGCUGGCGGUAGGCCUAACACAUGCAAGUCGAACGGCAGCACAGAGGAGCUUGCUCCUUGGGUGGCGAGUGGCGGACGGGUGAGGAAUACAUCGGAAUCUACUCUGUCGUGGGGGAUAACGUAGGGAAACUUACGCUAAUACCGCAUACGACCUACGGGUGAAAGCAGGGGACCUUCGGGCCUUGCGCGAUUGAAUGAGCCGAUGUCGGAUUAGCUAGUUGGCGGGGUAAAGGCCCACCAAGGCGACGAUCCGUAGCUGGUCUGAGGGGAUGAUCAGCCACACUGGAACUGAGACACGGACCAGACGCCUACGGGAGGGAGCAGUGGGGAAUAUUGGACAAUGGGCGCAAGCCUGAUCCAGCCAUACCGCGUGGGUGAAGAAGGCCUUCGGGUUGUAAAGCCCUUUUGUUGGGAAAGAAAUCCAGCUGGCUAAUACCCGGUUGGGAUGACGGUACCCAAAGAAUAAGCACCGGCUAACUUCGUGCCAGCCGCCGCCGUAA
rnacentral:rRNA from 1 species